AUUGAACGCUAGCGGGAUGCCUUACACAUGCAAGUCGAACGGAGUGGCGAACGGGUGAGUAAUGUAUCGGAACGUGCCCAGUAGCGGGGGAUAACUACGCGAAAGCGUAGCUAAUACCGCAUACUAUUGGAGCGGCCGAUAUCGGAUUAGCUAGUUGGUGGGGUAACGGCUCACCAAGGCGACGAUCCGUAGCUGGUUUGAGAGGACGACCAGCCACACUUGGACUUGGACCCGGCCCAGACUCCCACGGGAGGCAGCAGUGGGGGAUUUUGGGCAAUGGGGGAAACCCUUAUCCCGCCAACCCGCGUGGUGGAAUAAGGCCUUCGGGUUGUAAAGCACUUUUGGCAGGAAAGCGGUACCUGCAGAAUAAGCACCGGCUAACUCCGUGCCAGCCGCCGCGGUAAUUC
rnacentral:rRNA from 1 species